CUACGGGACGCACCAGUGAGGAAUAUUGCACAAUGGGGGGAACCCUGAUGCAGCAACGCCGCGUGGAGGAUGACGCAUUUCGGUGUGUAAACUCCUUUUAUAUGUCAAGAAAAUGACGGUAGCAUAUGAAUAAGCACCGGCUAACUCCGUGCCAGCAGCCGCGGUAAUACGGAGGGUGCAAGCGUUACUCGGAAUCACUGGGCGUAAAGGACGCGUAGGCGGGCUUGUAAGUCAGGUGUGAAAUCCUACAGCUUAACUGUAGAACUGCACUUGAAACUACGAGCCUAGAGUAUGGGAGGGGCAGAUGGAAUUAGUGGUGUAGGGGUAAAAUCCGUAGAUAUCACUAGGAAUACCUAAAGCGAAGGCGAUCUGCUGGAACAUAACUGACGCUAAGGCGUGAAAGCGUGGGGAGCAAACAGGAUUAGAUACCCCCGUAGUC
rnacentral:rRNA from 1 species